UCGGCUAUCUCCAAUCAAGCAGUGAAGCGAAAGUGACAAACUGAAUAAUUUUAUAUGGUUCAAGAUCCAACUGAAUGAAGCCAAAGGCCUAUGGAUGGAAUAGUUAUGCCCGAUUUUAUGGGCUUAUCGGAUGACUCCUCACAUCCCGAUAGAAGAGUCAUCAUUCAAUCUGGUAUAUAGAACAUAAGCAGUGAUCCCAUUAGAGAUC
rnacentral:lncRNA from 1 species